GAAGACGUCUCCUCGCCUUCGUCUUCCUCGUGGUCACCGGCGCCGUGUCCAGCGUACUUCUUCUCGGUGGGCAUGAGCUCUCCUUCUGGACCUACACCGCCGCGCCGACAUCCUGCACCCGCUCCCUCGCCGCCGACCCCAGCAUGGUGUAGCAGAGGAGCUACACUAAUCACUGGAGACUCUGGAGUGAAGUUCAAGCACAUCCAUGCCAAAGACGGCCGACGGAUGACACAACAGACAGAUACUUUGGAGUUCUUGUAGAUCGAGUAGAGUGGAUGGAGACCUUUAUUUGGUGUCAGAAUUUUUGUCGACCUCCAUGUAGAGGAAUGAUCCUUCUCCAAAUUAUUUCAUUCAUAUCUGCAUAGAUACAGAAAAUUUGAUACAUGCAUACAUACAGUCCUGCAUACAUAGAAUGCUCAUGAUCAUUUGUUUUGCGCUAAGUGCACAUUUCUUCCAUGAAUAUAA